AUGCCAAGGAAACAUUCCUCAGACUCGGGGUCUAUGGUCAGAGCUGGCUGUAAUUAUCCAAACCGAGGUCCAAGCAGGAGAAGCAAGCAUGGGAGUGAAAAAGGGAACAGACUGUUUCCCAUGCUGUGCACAGUCACUGGAUCUUCACAGAGGCAGGUAGGUCUUUAUUUCUUGCUUAUACUUUGGAUCCCAGAUGGAAGUCUUACACUUGACUGAUAAAAGUAGAUAUUUAUAUAACACUUGCUUAAACACAUGCGAAGCUGUACAUGUAUUAGCAAAUUUGAUUCUAUAAAUUUUCAUAUGAGGUAGGUAUAGUCUUUACUUCAUUUGACAGGUGAAGAAACUAAGGCAUGGAAGAAUUUCCCCAUGGUCACAUACCUCUUAAGUGUCUGAACUGAGCCAUAAGCCCAAGCAGUUGGUCUUCAGCGUUCAUUGACUUAAUCAUUAAGCCAUAUAUUUGCCUCUUGUGGAGUCAUUUAUUCAUUCUCUUUCUCUCCUUCCUCCCUCUCUCUGUCUCUCCCUUUCUUUCCCCUCUCUCCUCCCUCUGACAUCUCUUUCUCUCUCACCUCCUUCCUGUUACUCUCUCCCAUCUGCUUCUCAUCAUCUCUCCCUUUAUGCCCAUUCCCAUUGUCAAAUUUAUUCUUGGAAAGUUUGGGAUGUCUCAAAUUGUAGAUUGUAAAACUCCUCACUUUUUUGUAGGAGAAUGACGAUCCCCAUUCUGAUUUGGAUUAGAUCUUUGAUGAAGGUGGACAACUAAAAGUUUAAGUAGACUUAAUGUCACCUGUCUCAAGGCCAAGCCUUCAGGAAGGAAUGGUGUUGGAAUCCAUUUACUUACUUUUAACUUCCAAACAUUCUUACAGGAGGAGCAAGUAAUGAACCACCCCUUGAAGACUGGGCAGCUACACUAAAUGGUUAUAGAAAAUUGGAGCAGAACUUGAGAAGGGAAGAGAAGCAUAAACUCUUCAGUGAAUUGUUGGAUGGGUUAGGAGGUGACAAAGCUAUUGCUGCUUCAUAAUAAGCAUGAAGAGAUCUGUGUCCUUAGGGAAUAUGCUCAAAAAAUGUGUAAAUUGAGGAGUUCCUGCUGUGGCACAGUGGGUUAAGAAUCCAAAUGUAGCAGCUCUGGCCUCUCUGGAGGUAAGGGUUUGAUCCCCAGCCUCACUGGAUCCCUGGAUUCUUGGGUUAAAGAGUCUGGCAUUGCCACAGCUGAGGCUCUGAUUCAAUCCCUGGCCCAGGAACUUCCCUAUGCGGUGGGUUUGGCCAUUAAAAAAAAGAACGAGUAAAUUGAGACUUCAAAGAGAGACAAAUUGAACCAUAUUAAGUAUAAGCCAGACAGAAGAUUAAAUUUUGGCUAGGGUUUGUUAUUGUUGUAGUGAGAUUAUCCAUUCUAGGGUGGUGAACGUAACUUUGGAACAUAAGGAACUCACUGACUUCAUGGCCUUACCUCAGAGAUGUAAAGAGUAUGGUUUGAAAAAAAAAUAAAACAAAUGGCCAGGACUGAGGGACA
rnacentral:lncRNA from 1 species